rnacentral:rRNA from 1 species
AGUGAACGCUGGCGGUAGGCCUAACACAUGCCAGUCGAACGGCAGCACAGUAAGAGCUUGCCCUUACGGGUGGCGAGUGGCGGACGGGUGAGGAAUACAUCGGAAUCUACUUUUUCGUGGGGGAUAACGUAGGGAAACUUACGCUAAUACAGCAUACGACCUACGGGUGAAAGCAGGGGAUCUUCGGACCUUGCGCGAUUGAAUGAGCCGAUGCCGGAUUAGCUAGUUGGCGGGGUAAAGGCCCACCAAGGCGACGAUCCGUAGCUGGUCUGAGAGGAUGAUCAGCCACACUGGAACUGAGACACGGUCCAGACUCCUACGGGAGGCAGCAGUGGGGAAUAUUGGGCAAUGGGCGCAAGCCUGAUCCAGCAAUACCGCGUGAGUGAAGAAGGCCUUCGGGUUGUAAAGCCCUUUUGUUGGGAAAGAAAAGCAGCAGGUUAAUACCCCGCUGUUCUGACGGUACCCAAAGAAUAAGCACCGGCUAACUUCGUG